GAAGUUAGCUCAUCUAUUCCAACUUGGACCUUUGAAGUGCCCUCACGUACUCGCCUUUCGGCAUCAAAGAUCUUUUUCUUAUAACUUCUUCACCUGCUCUCUAGUUUUGUGUGUGCCUCGAUUGUCUUCAUUUUUUCAAGUUGGUGUGCUUUCAUUCUCACUGAUUCAAUUAAUCAACCCUCUGCUGAUUUUAAGGACUGUGAAAAAUCAAGACUUAUGUUUUAAUGACUUAUAGUUUCUGGGAACAUGGAGCACGAUUUCGUUAAACUUAUGCAAAGCAAUACAUUCAUUUUAGAAGUAUUAUUAAUUUUAAUUAAGUGUCUGAAUAGUGUAAAAGGUAUGAUCAGAGGGACGGAUUAUGGUGUUGUCACUCCGUUUAAUCCAAACUUUGAGCUAAAACGGACUCCAGAGGAAAUAAAACAAGCCUUGACACGACACAAGAUUAUUCCUGAUUUGUUAGACAAGGCACCCAACGAAACAAUUUAUGUAGAAUGGAUCGGUGGUCCUUGCGCUAAACUCGGAAACGAAAUAACUGAAAUCCACGAACUAGAACCUCCACCACUUUGGGUCAAUUACAAGAACUCUCUCCAGCAGAUGCAUACGACGAUGAUGAUAGGUCUAGAUGAACCGUCCGCGCAAAAUCGCUCCUCUAGUUUGUUCUUGUAUUGGCUUGUCAGCAACAUUCCGCCACAUAAUUAUUACAAUGUGCCAUGGAACCGAUUAUGUCAGGGGAGAAACGAUAGUUGAGUACAGGGAACCAAUACCUUUGCAAGGAACAGAUUCUCCGUCAUAUUUCCUUUCUUCAAUGGAUUAUUAUUGGGCUUAGGGCUUCAUCGGUACGUGUUUCUUGCGUUUCCACAAGGCAACCGGACGAUCAAUGUCACCAUGCCAAAACUGGAGUACUGUAAUGUAACACAACGAUUACACUUCGAUCUGAGACGCUUUGGGAAAAAGUAUAAUCUUGGCGAGCCGAAUGCUGCUAAUUUUUUUGUGGCUCAGUGGCAUAGAGUAACGUCACACAACGAAUCCAUUUCAACCUGAUACACUUUUGGAAAACGGUAUACUCUGCUAAUGCUGCUCGAAUGCUGCUAAUUUUUUGGGGGCUCAAAGGCAUAGGCUUUUGCCCUUGUAGUCUGCUGAUGCUUUAAACUCAGAAAAACCAAUCACUAUUAUUUAGAACAUUUUUCGAAAGUAUCAUUGCGUGAUCAGUGAGAGGGUUGAUACAAAAAUGUCCGAUAAUUCUGUGGUUACGCUAACUUUUCCACGUAAAACUAUAACGUUCUCGAGUACUAUGUGAAAUGCACAGGUCAAAAGCGAAGUUUAAAUAUUACACUCCGGAAAUAUUGCAUUGAUUAUUAUGAGCAAUCCGUUUCUUAGAGUUAAUAUAUUGUUUCGUAAAGAAAAAUACUUCUCGCGGCAUGACAGCACUUAAUUGUACCAAAGAAAAUAGUACCAGUAUGUAAUUGUGAAAAUAAAAAUUUAUUUUUUGUAA